AGAACGAACGCUGGCGGCGUACUUAACACAUGCAAGUCGAACGAGAAAGGACACUUCGGUGUCUGAGUAAAGUGGCGAACGGGUGCGUAACACGUAAGUAAUCUACCUUGGGCACUGGGAUAACUUCUCGAAAGGGGAGCUAAGACCGGAUAGUGUCCCCGAGGCUUAAGUUGCGGGGGGAAAACGGGCCUCUGAUUCAAGCUCGUGGCUCAAGAUGAGCUUGCGGCCCAUUAGCUUGUUGGCAGGGUAAAAGCCUACCAAGGCGACGAUGGGUAGCUGGUCUGAGAGGAUGAUCAGCCACACUGGCACUGAGACACGGGCCAGACUCCUACGGGAGGCAGCAGUGGGGAAUUUUGCGCAAUGGGCGAAAGCCUGACGCAGUAACGCCGCGUGGAGGAUGAAGGCCCUCGGGUCGUAAACUCCUGUCGGAGGGAAAGACGAAAAUGGGACGAAUAGUCUCAUUUUACAGACGGUACCCUCAAAGGAAGCCCCGGCUAAUUCCGUGCCAGCAGCCGCGGUAAUACGGAAGGGGCAAGCGUUGUUCGGAAUUAUUGGGCGUAAAGGGCGCGUAGGCGGUUUCGUAUGUCCGCUGUGAAAGCACACGGCUCAACCGUGGAGAGUCGGUGGAAACUGCGAAACUUGAGGCUGGGAGGGGCUGGUGGAAUUCCCUGUGUAGCGGUGAAAUGCGUAGAUAUAGGGGAGAACACUCGUGGCGAAGGCGGCCAGCUGGACCAGUUCUGACGCUGAGGCGCGACAGCGUGGGGAGCAAACAGGAUUAGAUACCCUGGUAGUCCACGCCGUAAACGAUGGGCACUAGGUGUCGGCGGUAUUAAUCCGUCGGUGCCGGCGCUAACGCAGUAAGUGCCCCGCCUGGGGAGUACGGUCGCAAGGCUG
rnacentral:rRNA from 1 species